CAGCAGCCGCGGGAAUACGAAGGGUGCAAGCGUUAAUCGGAAUUACUGGGCGUAAAGCGUGCGUAGGUGGUGGUUUAAGUCCGUUGUGAAAGCCCUGGGCUCAACCUGGGAAUUGCAGUGGAUACUGGGUCACUAGAGUGUGGUAGAGGAUAGUGGAAUUUCCGGUGUAGCAGUGAAAUGCGUAGAGAUCGGAAGGAACAUCUGUGGCGAAGGCGACUAUCUGGGCCAACACUGACACUGAGGCACGAAAGCGUGGGGAGCAAACAGGAUUAGAUACCCCGGUAGUCCCUGUCUCUUAUAC
rnacentral:rRNA from 1 species